GGGCUUUGCAGAAGUUUGCUAUGGCUUCACUGCACUGUGUGAUGAAAACCAUACUAAUGACAGCUUUCCCGUAAUGAGACAAAAAAGCAGGCAAGGCCAGACUUCUACACACAAGAAGGGGAAGAUGAUCCUUGGAGAAUCUCCCUCAGUGGAAUGGACCCUCAUGGACCACAAGCUGGCAUCUGUUGAUCCCAUUUUCUGUUGUUUCAUUUGCUCCAACUGGAACAAGACAUUACAAUCAGCCUGGAUUUCAAAGGAAGGGUAUUGUGCAAUGCCUGGAACACCGAAGCGAUCCAGACUAGAAAUGACUGCUUCGAACUAAGGCGAUGGCAAUGAAGAUG